rnacentral:tRNA from 1 species
UUAGAGCUAAAGUAUUAAAGUACAUUUUAUUUACACUAAAAAGGUUUCGUUUGUUGAAUGGCUC